rnacentral:rRNA from 1 species
AUUGAACGCUAGCGGGAUGCCUUACACAUGCAAGUCGAACGGAGUGGCGAACGGGUGAGUAAUGUAUCGGAACGUGCCCAGUAGCGGGGGAUAACUACGCGAAAGCGUCGCUAAUACCGCAUACUAUUGGAGCGGCCGAUAUCGGAUUAGCUAGUUGGUAGGGUAACGGCUCAACAAGGCGAAGAUCCGUAGCUGGUUUGAGAGGACGACCAGCCACACUGGGACUGAGACACGGCGCAGAUACCAACGGGAGGCAGCAGUGGGGAAUUUUGGACAAUGGGGGAAACGCUGAUCCAGCCAUGCCGCGUGGGCGAUGAAGGCCUUCGGGUUGUAAAGCACUUUUGGCAGGAAAGCGGUACCUACAGAAUAAGCACCGGCUAACUACGUGCCAGCAGCCGCGGUAAUUC